GAGACCUCCGAUCAAGCAAGAAGACCCGCUGAAUUUAA
rnacentral:rRNA from 1 species